GGAAGGGUGGCUGAGAGGUCGAAAGCAUCGCAUUCGAAAUGCGACGCGCGGGCAACCGUGCCGUGGGUUCGAAUCCCACCCCUUCCG
rnacentral:tRNA from 1 species